UUCUGUGUUUGGAAAACAAUUUUUAUGAAAUAUUUUUUUAAAAUAUAGAAAAAUUAAAAAAAAAUUGUCAAAAUAUCUUAUUGCUCUUAAUAAGAGUUCGUUUGGUAUGUAUUUUGUUUUUCCAAUGUGCAUAGAUGACUCAGAAUUGCAAUUUUCGGGGGGGUAUGUAGACUUUAUUGGGCGACUGUAUAACAAUCGAAACAAAUAAAUCGACUUACUUAUGCGUUUUAAAAAGGCAGUUUUACUUUGAUCUUAUUCGUAUCACUUUAUUCAUUCAGCUAUACUUUUGGUAUUUUUUGGUGUUAUGGCUCAUUUCGAUCUAAUUUUAUUGAAUUAGUGGCUCAUGAGACAAUGGGGCACUUCAACAGUUCGUAUUGAGAGAAACUUACCCAUUAUUCAUACUGUCAAUAUGUGUGCUGAGUUAUGCUGACAACGCGGACGCACAUAUUUCCGAGGGGUCACCAGAAAUUACGUCACAAUGGAGGGGUUUUAAUUUUUUUUUAACUUAAGAAAUUAUUCUUUUAAUAUGCUAUAAAACAGAAGAAAGUUUGAAUUAAAUAAAUAUUAUUUUACAUAAAAAAAAGAUUAUAAAUAGGCCUUUUUUUACCCGACAAAACCCAUGUAACCCCUUAAGUCGGUCAACAACCAAUUAAAUUUUUAAUUUCUUUAUAUGUUUUCCCUUUUGAAAUAUUUUUUUAUAAGAUCGCGUUGAUAAGACGUUCAGUGCUUACUGUGUCCCAUUGGUGACCAAAAUAAAUCAGAGUUACUCAAUACUUACUUUUCUGAAAAUUUUAUAUUCAAAUCAAGAUUUUAUUUUUGUAUUUUGACAAUUUAAUUCACGCACUUAAUAUCUUCCCCUUUUGCAAAUAAAUGAAAUUGCAAUUAUACCCAAGCUAUACAGUUAUUUUGGUACUCUUUUAAUGCAAUGCAUCUACAUAAAAGUAUUUCAAACAAUUAAGGAAGGGCUAAGUUCGGGUGUCACCGAACUAUUCAUAAUAAACAAUUUGACUCACAUAUUCGGGAUAUAUAUAGUAUAAAGUCCAUUGAAAGUUUGAAAACCCUAAUAUUAGGUAUAUAGGAGAAAGAUGAAGUUAUGACCCGAUUUCACUAAUAUUUGGCACGGAGACAUAUUAUUAGAAGAAACAUAUUCCCUCAAAAAAAAAUUCUUCAAAAUAUCUGAGAGACUUAACUAUAAUUUCGGUAAAAAAUUUAUUGGUCCUUAGGUCCUCAUGUUCGAUAUAUAGGGUCUUGAAAACUUAUGGACCGAUUUCGACGAUUUUUAGAACGGUGAUGGCACUCUUUAAAUACAGUAUUUCAGCGAAGUUCUGUUCCGACAUCAUCACUAGUACUAACUUUAUAUAUUGUAAAGUAAAUUAUUCAGACCGACUUCAGAGUUCUGUUAUAUGGGAAGUAGGCGUCGUUGUGAACCGAUUUAGACUAUUUUCACAACAUAUCUUUGGGAAGGUAGGAAGAUAUUAUGAACCAAAUUUCAUUGAAAUUGGUCGAUAUGGUUUUUGACCAAUAAGUGGGCGGAACCAUGCCCAUUUAAAAUUUUGUAUACCAUUUUGAGUGCAGCUCUUCUGCACCUUCUUUAUAAUAAAAUUUAAAGUUUCUGUUGGGUUUCCUUACCGAAUAAAAGCAUUUUUAGUAGUUUUCAACAUAACCUUUGUAUGGGAGAAAGGCGUGGUUAUAAUCCGAUUUCCUCCAUUUUUGGACUGUAUAAGGUAGUACCUAAAAAAACGACUCUAGAAAGAUUCCUUGAUAUAGCUUUAGUAGUUUGCGAGAUAUGGACAAAAAACUUAGUAUGCCCCUUCAUAGUGCGAUCCUUCAUACCAAAUUUUACUUCCAUAGCUUUAUUUAUAGCUUAGUUUUGGCACUUUAUGUGUUUUUGUGAAUGUUAACCGAUUCAUUUCAAAUAUUUGAAGUGAAAAAAGUGAGUAAGUGGAAAGUGCGUGAAAUAUCUAGCUUCUUGAAAUUUUCCAUUUUUUUAUAUUUAAAACCGAAUAUCUGAAAUACUAGACGUCUGCGGUACCUAGAAACCUAUAUAUUUUUUAUCAGGAGGACUUCCUCUUUCAAAUGGUACUUUCAGAUCGCGGCGCCAAAAAAAAUCGGGACUGAUCUUAAUACCUAAAUAAAUAAUAAAACGAACUGUAUCUCACUUUUGGAUUCAAGUCAAUAUCUUAAUUAGUUUAAUAUCCUAGACAGACGGCAGCACUAAUUUGCACUAGCGGCGUUGAUUUACUUUAACUCGCGCAUUUAUUCAUUUUAAAGCAAAUUAGUAAUGAACAAAAAUUCCGUGAAUUUAGCUAAAUUUACCAAAUUUGAGUUCCUUUUUAGCUAUUGCUAUUGAUACAAAUGAGAAGAAAAAAACGUAAACAAAUGAUUUAUGCUUCUAUUUUGUCAAUUCAAUUAUUGGCAAAUAUAUUAAUAACUUUUUUAAUGUCUUCAGAUGGUAGAAAGAAAAAACAACAACGACAACCAGCGACGAAAAUGAGCCGAUACAUUUGUUUACUUUGUUUAAGGAAUAGCCAGAUUUCUCAAUCAGCUGUCUAAAUACACAAAAUUUCCCAUUUGUCACAAUACAAUUUUAAUACGCAUAAGCAUUUCUUAAGGCGCAUUAAGGGUCGGCUUUAGUAUACUAUCCCAGGCUUUCGGUAAUAAAAUGGGUAUCGUUGGAAAGAGGAGGUUCUCCAGAUUAAGAAUAAAUAUAUAUAUAGCUGCAGCUGACUUAGUUUUCGAGAUAUUCGCACUUAAAGAUGAAAAAAGUACAACUUUUAUCUCGAAUUUUCACAAUAUAUACCGAAUAUUUUAUCAAUAUUUUGCACUUAUUUUACAUUUACACUUCACCACAUUGUUCCUGCAUAUUUAUUUUAUAAAAAUUAUGACAAAAAUAGCUGUAAAUAAAUAUUUAACAUUUUAAGCAAAUCUUCGUCUAAAAAAUAGUAAAAUGGUUGCAGGUUGACAAGUAAUGAGUGUUGCCAUAUCAAAUAUUUUGCAAAAAUUAAAAGAAUAAUAAUAAACAGAAAAAAGAAGGAUUAUACACCAAAUAUAUAAACCAUAAUGGUGUUAUGACUAAUGCAAAAUCUCGGUAGUACCUUUUCUUUGAUAACUCCCGGUGUUGGCUCGACCAGGGUUAUUUUUUUGAAGCGCGGCCGAAGGCCGCCAAUGCGGAAAGUAUUUCAAACGAAAGACUUUUCAUUUCCAUUACUUAUAGUACAUAGAGUGAAUAUCAUAAACUUUCCUUAUAUUAUCUUUAUGUAAUCUUUUUAUAGGGCAUUUGUUUUCUGCAUUUGGGGUAUUUAUUUAUUUUGGUUCUUCCCAUUCGUUUGACAAAUAUCUGAUAUGGCAACACUUAUUACUUGUCAAGCUACAACCCUUUUUGUUAUUGUUGAAAUUAAGUGAUUUGUGUAAAAUGUUAAAUACUUAUUUACAACUAUUUUCGUGAUAAAUUUUAUAAAAUAAAUAUGCAGAAACAAUGUGGUGAAGUGUAAGUGUAAAAUAAGUGCAUAAUAUUAAUAAAAUAUUCAGUAUAUAUUGUGAAAAUUCGAGAUAAAAGUUGUACUUUUUUCAUCUUUAAGUGCGAAUAUCUCGAAAACUAAGUCAGCUGCAGCUAUAUAUAUAUUUAUUCUUAAUCUGGAGAACCUCCUCUUUCCAACGAUACCCAUUUUAUUACCGAAAGCCUGGGAUAGUAUACUAAAGUUUCCCCCGCAUUAAUUUCGCUCAUCUGUCGAGGCUAUAAGAGAUACAUAAGUAAAUUUGAAGUCAAAACAUUUCUCUGUGAAAUUUUUAGAUCACUGUUUAUAUGUAUGUAUGAAUAUUCAAAUUCAAAUAUGUUCAAAUCAAAGUGUAUUUUUUUUUAACUUGAUUAGUAUUACAUAUCCUUUUAAAAAGCAUAAAUUCUUACAUUGUAUCACUUAGCAAAAAUAUAAAAAAUACAAGCAAUAUAGGAAAGUUUUGUACACUUUCUUUUGACGCUGACUGUACAUUCAUAUGCUAUAGUUAUCGGGUUUGAAACUCGAAAUAGCAAUAAUAAACUUUUAAGCGAUAGACAUAAAAAUUUUGCAGAUAAUGAUAGCAACUAAGAUUUGUAAAGAAACUAUUAUUUGUAAAUAACUAGGAAUACGUUUGGAUGUUGAGAAAUAACUAAAAAUAAAUACCUCACUUAUUUAUUAUUUUAACACAAAUUUUAAAUGAAGCUGUAUAAUACAGGUUUGAACAGAAAAACGUCCCCUUAAAAACAAGCUGUUAAAUUAAACUGCGUUCAUACGCGAAUACAAUAGGCGUGUUUUAUUUGACCAGCAAAUUAAGCUAUUAGCUUAUUUUGUAUGGAAGACUUAGCCAACAUAAUUAUGUUGGCUUGUCAUAAGCUAUCAUAGCUUCCCAGCAAGUCAUGGUUACCGAAACUCCAACACAUUUAAAGGAAUUUGAAUAUCACCACUACAUACACACGUCUGCAACAAAGGGCAAAACGUGCAUAAACAUAUACCUCAACUCCUUCUCGUACAGCACCCUGAAUGAUAGAAAGAAACAUCUCAAGUUAUCGUGUGUUUGAACAAGUUCUGUUUUGAGCUUUAUCAUGGUUGCUUGUGAAGUAUUAUUUUGCGUGUUUUAUUUAAAUCAGUGAUCUGCAGCCUAAUUAAAGUUUAAAUUAUUGAAGCAUGCAUUUUUAAAUAAGUAAAACCUAAAAUAAAAGUAUUCUAAAGCCGAAAUAUAAAAUUGAAGGGGGUGAUACAGUAAUACUUUAUCACACACUCAAUUCGAAGCACGCAAUAGAAGCUACGCCAACAAUGGUCAACAUAAGGGGCGAAACCAUUGAAUACAUAUUUCAAACCUCAUACGGCGCUUUCGAAGCGAUGGAAUAUGUGCUGCAAUCAAAUCCAGAAGUAUGGAUGCAAACGCUGCUACAUCAAAUACAAAUCAUUUACACACCAGAUAUUAGGUUUAAUGCCACUUUUUUUACGUGCAAUUAAACCUUUUGGUGAACACAAGCACGUGAAAAAUUGUGACGACAUGGUUUGGGUCCAAACCGGUUAUCAUCGCGACGUGUGUCAACUGGGUUUUGCCGAAGCAAUUGCAGCAUUUUUGGACUUACCGGCAAAUCAGUUGGCCGUGCCAUUAGCAACUAAAACACAGAAAUUAAAAGGAGGACUUUUUUGAUUCAUUUUCAACUUGUAUUGAGGAAUCAUAACGUUCUUGUAUCGCUUUACAAGGAAAUAAAUUCACCGAAAUUAGUUCAAUGGAAAUACUACAGCAAGAGCAUGGAUGUUAAGACUUGAACGGUACCGUGCUAGAUUUAGAAUUCCUAAAACAUAAGAAACCCUUCCAACCCGCACGAGGUAUUUGAUAUUUGCCGCUCUUCCUCCAGCCUUUGUCCGAUAGCAAAAAUUGUUCAACUAUUAAAUUUUUAUACAUAUGUAUAUAGUGUAGUACGAUAAUAUAUGUAUAAAGUAAAUGUAAUAAUAAACACAGCAUGAUAUUUUCAAUAAAUAUGAAAUAUAAUUAA